CGCAGUCUCUCUCUCUCUCUCUCUCAGGCUCCCUCUUCGUCGCCGCCUUCGUCGUGUUUGUGUUCGUGUGUGUUUUUUUUCUUUUUUUUUUAGUGUUUUGGUGUUGUGCUGACGGAGGCGCUGAAGGUGGUGGUGGUGGUGUGAGGAAAAGGAAAGGUUUGUAGUGUGUGUGUGUGUGUGUGUGUGUGUGUGUGUGUGUGUGUGUGUGUGUGUGUGUGUGUGUGUGUGUGUGUGUGUGUGUUCUUUUCCGUCCGUCCGUCUGUCUGUCUGUCUGAGUCUCUCUCUCUCUCUCUCUCUCUCUCUCUCUCUCUCUCUCUCUCUCUCUCUCUCUCUCUCUCUCUCUCUCUCUCUCACACCCCCGUCCUCCUUUCCCUUACCCCCAAAAAGAGCAACACCCCCCACACCAAACCCCAUCCUCCCCCCAUCCCCCCUCCCCCCACUCACAUCCCUACGGCUAGAGAGAGAGAGAAAGUGUGUGUGUGUGUGUGUGUGUGUGUGUGUGUGUGUGUGUGUGUGUGUGUGUGUGUGUGUGUGUGUGUGUUUCAAAGUGUCGUCCAAAAUACGUGAAAAGCUUUGAAACAAUGAAAAAAAAAGGCCAAUGUUUUUCAUUUCCCCUCGAGACAUUCACUCGAAAAAAGGGUAAAAAAAAAAUAAUAAUAAUUGGAAGAAAAAAGGAAAAAAAAAUAUGUACUUGUGAAAAAAAUGAAGAGAAAAUGUAAGAAAAUGAGAUGAAGAAAAAAAAAAGGAGGAAAGAAGGAAAGAAAAACGUGGAGGUAAUGUUGUAAAUGAGACGAAUAAAAAGAGAGACAGAGAGAGAAAAAAAAAAAUAGUUUAAAGCAAGACAAGAGUUUCCUGGCACGACCUCUGGUGUGGCAGAUGUGGGCGUGGGCAGGUGUGGGUGGCUUCCAGAGGCUUUAAUUAGUGCAAGGUGAGAUGGCCAGGCCAUACCUGCAACACACCUGAGCGUCGUGCAGCUGCCACACCUGACGGAGGGAAGGAGUGCCGACGCUGGAGGGACUGGAGGAAAGAGUGGAAGGAAAUUAGUGAGGGAAUAAACAGCAUCUGAGGAAAAGAGGUUACCAAGAGGACGGCGAGAGAGAGAGAGAGAGAGAGAGAGAGAGAGAGAGAGAGAGAGAGAGAGAGAGAGAGAGAGAGAGAGAGAGAGAAUCCCUUAAUUGCUACUUUCACCCCCUCCCUCUCCCUCUCUCUCUCUCUCUCUCAUCUCCUUAGUGUUACACUUAAUCGUGUUCCAGUCACUUAGGAGAAUGACCGAGGAGGAGGAGGAGGAGGAGGAGGAGGAGGAGGAGGAGGAGGAGGAGUGACCAUUGCUUCCGGUAAGAUUUAUGCUCUCUCUCUCUCUCUCUCUCUCUCUCUCUCUCUCUCUCUCUCUCUCUCUCUCUCUCUCUCUCUCUCACACACACAGACCCAGAGUAAGUUGACGAACCCACAGUCACAAAAAAAAAUCUCUCUCUCUCUCUCUCUCUCUCUCUCUCUCUCUCUCUCUCUCUCUCUCUCUCUCUCUCUCUCUCUCUCUCUCUCUCUCUCUCUUGCAUUACCUCCAUACUCUCCCUCUGCUCUCCCUCUGCUCUCCCUCUCUCCCCCGGGGGCUUGAAUGAGGGAAAGUGUGAAGAUCUUGAUAAAACGCGACAGGAUCGAUACUUCCAGCGCGGCGAUGAAUAGGAUGCCCGCCCCUUAAUCCUGCUGAUCUGAUAAUGCCCGUAGAUGAAGCCUCGUCCAUACACACACCCCAGAACCCUUUAACUUUCACCUUGUAUAGAGACCAAUAAAGAUGCUCUAGAAAA